GGGGGUUCUCAAGUGACGCACCCUGGAAUCAGGCUCCCUCCUCUCUGGUUCCAGAUGCGUCACCCAAGAACCGCA
rfam:Myotis lucifugus cont2.16118, whole genome shotgun sequence.